GCUCAAUUUCAGAAGCCAGGAUAAAGGAAUGGAGUUACUUUGUGAGACCCUGUUCUGAUGCUUACUUUUUGGGGAGGAGGAGAUCUGGGAAAUACGUUAUUCUCAUAACAAAUGCUCCCUGGAGAUUUGCCAUCUCCCAGCUGAAGCACCUCACAGUUUGCGGCCAUGCAGUUAUUACAGUCACACAUGUGAUUCCUGACACUUCCACAAGCAUGACCAAUUCACCUGAAUUUUCCUUGCACCACUACAACUUUUCUGGGACACAAAUGCACGGGAGCCAAAUAACAACAGUCUUUUAAUGACAGUAAGGCAAAAUACAGGAACUGGGACAUUUCUAACAGGUUCUCUACCAGCUUCUGGUACCAGACCCUCAUGUGGAGUGAAGCUACAAAGCCUAUGGAAAUACAUGAGGUGAUUUUAUUCUGCUUAGAAAAAAAGGCAAAGUGAAAGGCAUCUCCUCCCUACCCAAAGGAGCAAGUCAGGGAGUGAAGCCUGUGGGUGAAGAUCAAGACUGAGGGAAAAAGGGAGGUCCCUAGAUGAAUCAUGAGAAUCCCUUUUAAAACACACUCAGCUAUGGACAAGAGCAGAAAACUGCAGCAGCUCCAACUUCCACCCGUUGCCUCUCAAAGCCCAGUGGCACUUCCUGAGAGCUUGGGGCCUUCACUUCCGGAGAACAAACCAGAACUGUUUCCACUGUGAACUUUUCUACUUUAAGAUUAGAAUGAAAAGUAGAUAAUUGCAGAGUUGCCUUUUAACAUUAUCUAUGACCAUGUGCAGUGUCAUUAGUAGCCAAGGUUGCUAAUCUUAUGCAGUAAUUCUGUGCUUCCUUUGAAGAAACAACCUAGAGCAC
rnacentral:lncRNA from 1 species